AUUUUCUCCUCAACUUUGAACCCUCAUUUCUUGAGUUCUAGAGCUCCAAAUUGGGUGAUUCAAAAGGCAAAAUUGUGAGGUUUUUCGUGGAGAAUGCAUUGGAGAAAUUGAAAACUGAUUUGGAGUAUUCGAUUCUGGUAAAAAUCGUGAUUUUAUUUGCAGCAGUAUCCAUUUUCGGAAUGGAUUUUUGAAGAACUUUGACAAGUUAUAUCUUGACCAAUAUAAAUCCGAUUUGGGUGAUUCCAGAGGCUAUCUUGCGUGGAAAUUUAAGGAGAACAUCGUGGAAGUUUCAGAAUCUAUUUUUGGCACGUCGUUCGAGCUUGGCAGCGUUCCGAGGCCGUUCGAAAGGGAAAAGCUCCAGCACAGUGAUUUGGAGCCCGCGUGUUUGGCCUACAGGACCGAGCACCAGCUACUGUCACGAAUAGAUCGAUCUUGUUGUAGUCAGAUUCGGAGACUAGGGUGAUAACUUGGCGUUUUUGGAUCACUUCUGUCUCCUUCAGAAUGGAUGGCCCGUCUUUUGCCUUCUGAGACUAGCCAGUUAUUUUAUAUCUUUUUGGUCCACUUUCGGGACUUGUACUCAU